rnacentral:lncRNA from 1 species
UAAGGUUUGUUUUAGAAGAAUCUGAUUCCAAGUUUUAUAGAAUCCUAUUUUUAGGUCCUUGGUACUGUAGGGAGCAGAAAGGGGUGAUUCCUUUCCUUCCUAUCAUAAGAGUAACAGUUGACACCUCUCUAACAAAGGCAAAUUAACAAGAGAAAAGCAUAACAAAUUUAUUUGAUCAUAGUUUUAUGUGACACAGGAGCCUUCAGAAUGAAGACCCCAAGAUAUAGGGGCAACUAUUCCUUUAUUAUUAUUUUUGAUUUAGGGUCUCACUCUGUAGCUCAGGCUGGAGUGCAAUGUCCUGAUCAUAGCUCACUGUAACCUGUAACUUCUGGGCCCAAGUGAUGUUGCACCUCGGCCUCCCAGAAUGCUGGGGUUAUAGGUAUGAGCCACCUGCUCUUGGCCCAUUUUUAUGCUUGGGUUCAAUGAAGUAUGGAAAGCUGUGUAGAAAUAUGAUUGGACAAAAGGGGUAUGAUCCAGUGCUAAUAGGCUGAAUGGGGGAAAUCCAGAAAGGCCUGUCUGUUCAGAUUUCUUCUUGGCCUUUCGGUAUGACAUUCCUUCCUCCCAGGUAUGGGGUAGGACCCCCCUGGAAUGAGGGUCUUAAUUUCUUUAUGGCCAGCAGUUAGCAAGAAAGAGAAAGGGAAGGGAGGGAGAAGAUUAGAGUAAAAUUUUUAGGCUCUAAGGCUGGUUUUGGGGAAAAGGUUCUGGUUUAUAUGACCCACCUCGGGGAAGAAGGAUUCCAGUUUCUAUGGCUUGCUUCAAGGGAGAAUAAGAGGGUGAGAGACAGGAGGGCAGGAGAAAGCUAGACAGAGACUUUGCUUCUGAGGCUGCUUUUUAUUCCUUCAUUUUGGGGUGUCAUUUUUAGCCCCAAUAGACCACCGUCUCCUCUGGUACAAAUUCAACUGCCAUUUUGGGGUCAAGUCCACAUUUGACAUUACCUCUCAGGCAACUUUCUGGGCAAAAGAAUUUUCUAGGGAAGGUUUUAUUUUUCCCUGUCUAGCAUUUUUAAUGGCACAGAGUCAAGGAUUUCAAAACUGUUGCUAAAGGUAGCAUUUAUCUUGCAGGUAUUAAUUCAGAAAGUGCUAAUGGUUGAAACAGUCUAAACAACUGAAACUUAAAACAACAACGUUUUCUUUUAGUUCAGCCUCUUCCCACAAAGCUCAGAAAUGGUAUGGGGAGCAGAUGUGCACACGGUGGACAGAGAAUGCAGCGUAAAAUCCUGCUGGUGGUUUUGGUUUAGAAUGUAGAUUUUACUUGCACUCUUACCAGAAACUGCUAAAGUUAGCCUUUGCCUUUUUCCCAGAGACUCUCUAGGAAUUUUUCCCAUCUGCUGACUAGGAGGUAAGCCGCGACCUAAAUUUUUGUCUUGCUGUAGGCUAAUUAAGACUGGUGUUAGAUUCAGCUCCUAAGGCCUAAGAGAAUUUAAGGUUGUCUUCUGGGAAGGACACCCAACAGCAGCACUGGAAUUGGAAAAAAAGUGUAGGAUUUUGCUGAGUGAGCAGGGGGAAAGCAAUGUAAAGCCCAAGAGAAUAUCUUUUGAACAAACGUCCUUUUCAUUUUGGUUUAGAAAUAGAAACGUGGUAAAAGGAGGCGACUGCUUUCUGAAGGCUUGUAGCAUGAAAACAGGCCAACUGGCAAGCAACUAGUUGUCUAUCAGUUUCUCUACUCACAUACAUCUGCCUUUUCCAGACUGCCAGCGCGGAGCACUAGUUUGACUUUGGGUGCUCUUCAAAUAGCUGGCAUUGAUAAGGCAUUCCCAGAAGACUGUGUUACUUAGUAAUCUUGUCGGUACAUUUUUUCACUAGGCAGAGAUUUUCCAAACAGAGAGCUGCCAGCUUUCAAGAUGUCAGAGUGCUUUUUCAUCCUGAAAUUGGGUGGGAAAAUGGGGAGAAGAAAAGCACGGUUCAGAUCAAUCAAUGAGAGAGAAC